ACAGAGAAGGGAAAACUAGUCUGUGGAAAGUCAGGGCUCUACAUUCAGGCUCAUAGAUUAGCAUUGAACCCAAGGCUAGAGACAUUUUUUGUUACUUCUUAUUUCUGUUUUGCAGAUUUUUUUUUUAUUGGUUGGUUGGUUGAUUGAUUGAUUUCUUCCCCACUUCAACCCUCCCCCCCCAUUUUCUUUUGAGGAAAAUUCUGGUUGAUUGUAACUGUUCUGUUUCUGCUGAGUCAGUCCUCCAACUUAUAUGAGGUGUCCUGCCAUGGUGGAGUCUUGGCACAGUUGAAGAACCAUCACUCUUGCAGGCUAAAGGGGAACACAGGUGCAGUCCCUUAUGAACAUGACCCCCUCCCAGAGUGUCUGCUUCCCAGGACAGAGUACCCAGUUUUAAUUUCUCCCAGUCUUCUGGAACUCCCCCCUGUGUUCCAAGAUAUGGAUCUUCUCUUACAUCAGUUGCUUUUUUGAGCAAGUUCUUCACUAUAUAUACACUCCAGAUUCAGCUAACCUAUUGGCUUGAGGAUGAUGUUACUAGAUGUCUAAUGAUGAAAGUUGUACAUUCUAGCAAAGUCUAGGAUUCCUUAAUUUGAUUUGUUGUCAGUUAUUACUGUUCUUGGAAUUCCAUGAUGUGCAAAUACAGAUUUAAUGUGCCUGACAACUGUUGCUGCUAUGGUAUCUUCAAGCGUGACUAUUUCUGGAAAAUUGAUAAAGUAGUACACUAUUACCAGGUGAUCAAGUCUUCCCAAGUUGAACAUGUCAAUUGCAGCUUUGUCCCAUGGAAUAGUAACUUGUCUGUAUGGUAUCAUGGGUUCUUUCUGUUGGGAAUCUCUGACUUCUAACAUGUUCCAUAGCUGAUUUCCAUUUCUUUCAUGUCACUAUUCAUCUUUAACCAUAAUACAACUUCUCUAGCUCUCUUUUUUUGAUGUGGGCAUUCCCAGGUGCCCUUCAUGUAUUUGUUCCAAUAUUUUCCUUCUCAUUACUGGGGGAAACACAAUCUGUUUUCCUUUCAAAAGCACUCUUGAGAUCACGGAAAGCUCAUUUUUAUAAUGGAAAUAGGCAGGUGGGAAGUGUUGAUAUUUUAGUCCUUUACUUAUAGCAUGUAUCACUGCUUUCUGCAUUUCAUCUUUAGCUGUUUCUGUGUCCAAGUCAUCCCAUCUGCCUCAAAAUUUAGCAUCUGACUCUUUUUCUCAUGUUCAUAUGUAUGUUUACUAUUUGGUCCAGAUCACCAGGCUGUGUAUUGUCAGAAGGAAGAUGUGCUUUUGAGAGUGCCAUUAGUAAGUGGCAUCCAGGUUUGAACUCCAGGGCCACAUCAUAUUUUUGUAUUUUCAAAAUUAGUUGUUUGUAAUAUUUGGUGGUGUUUCUCCAAGUCUCUUUUUGCAUAUUCAAUCAGUGGUUUAUCAGGUUGUGCUUUGAAGCUGCUACAAUAAAAUCAUGACAUUGUGUACAUCCA